rnacentral:rRNA from 1 species
AGCAGCCGCGGUAAUUCCAGCUCCAAUAGCGUAUAUUAAAGUUGUUGCAGUUAAAAAGCUCGUAGUUGAAUUUCAGGCCUGGCUGGACGGUCCGCCCUUCGGGUGAGUACUGUCUGUGGUCGGGUCCUACCUUCUGGCGAAGCGUCAUGGCCUUAACCGGCCGUGGCGGGGAACCAGGACUUUUACUGUGAAAAAAUUAGAGUGUUCAAAGCAGGCAAAUCGCUUGGAUACAUUAGCAUGGAAUAAUGGAAUAGGACGAUGGUUCUAUUUGUUGGUUUCUAGGACCGUUGUAAUGAUUAAUAGGGAUAGUUGGGGGCAUUAGUAUUCAAUUGUCAGAGGUGAAAUUCUUGGAUUUAUUGAAGACUAACUACUGCGAAAGCAUUUGCCAAGGAUGUUUUCAUUAAUCAAGAACGAAAGUUAGGGGAUCGAAGACGAUCAGAUACCGUCGUAGUCUUAACCAUAAACUAUGCCGACUAGGAAUCGGGCGAUGUUGACAAAAAUGACGCG